UCCCAACACUUUGGGAGGCCAAGGCAGGAGGAUCACCUGAGGUCAGGAGUUUGAGACCAGCCUGGCCAACAUGGUGAAACCCUGGAGUGCAGUGGUGCAGUCUCACUGCAGCCUCCGACUCCGGGUUCAAGCAAUUCUCUCACCUCAGCCUGCCGAAUUGCUGGGAGGAGUUUGAGACCAGCCUGGCCAACAUGGUGAAACCCCAUUUCUACUAAAAAUACAAAAUUUUGCUGGGCGUGAUGGUACAUGCCUAUAAUCCCAGUUACAUAGGAGGCUGAGGCAGGAGAAUCGCUUGAACCUGGGAGGCGGAAGUUGCAGUGAGCCAAGAUUGCACUCCAGCCUGGGCAACAAGAGUGAAAUUCCGUAUUAAAAAUCCCACCAGGCCCCACCUCCAACACUGGGGAUCACAUUUCAACAUGAGACUUGGUAUGAAUAUAGAGCAAUAGGAGCUCUCAUAUGCUGCUGGUGGGAAUGUAAAAUGGCACAACCACCUUGUAGAACACUUUUGCAUUUUUUAUUUUAUUUGAAGACAGGUGCUGUGGUCUGGUUGUUUGUGCCU
rnacentral:lncRNA from 1 species